GACGAACGCUGGCGGCGCGCUUAACACAUGCAAGUCGAGCGAUGAAAUCUUAACAGAACCCUUCGGGGCGAAGAUAAGACGGAUUAGCGGCGGACGGGUGAGUAACACGUGAGUAACCUGCCUUUUACACAGGGAUAGCCUCGGGAAACCGGGAUUAAAACCUGAUGAAACUAUCAAAUCACAUGAUUAAGAAAGUUGAAACUCCGGUGGUAAAAGAUGGACUCGCGUCCCAUUAGCUAGUUGGUGAAGGUAACGGCCCACCAAGGCAACGAUGGGUAGCCGGCCUGAGAGGGUGAACGGCCACAUUGGAACUGAGAAACGGUCCAAACUCCUACGGGAGGCAGCAGUGGGGAAUAUUGCACAAUGGGGGAAACCCUGAUGCAGCGACGCCGCGUGAGCGAAGAAGGCCUUCGGGUCGUAAAGCUCUUUUAUAUGGGAAGAUAAUGACGGUACCAUAAGAAAAAGCCCCGGCUAACUACGUGCCAGCAGCCGCGGUAAUACGUAGGGGGCUAGCGUUGUCCGGAAUCACUGGGCGUAAAGGGUUCGCAGGCGGCAAUGCAAGUCAGAUGUAAAAGGCAAAGGCUCAACCUUUGUAAGCAUCUGAAACUGUAUAGCUUGAGAAGUGUAGAGGCAAGUGGAAUUUUUAGUGUAGCGGUGAAAUGCGUAGAUAUUAAAAAGAAUACCGGUGGCGAAGGCGACUUGCGGGGCACAAUCUGACGCUGAGGAACGAAAGCGUGGGGAGCAAACAGG
rnacentral:rRNA from 1 species